UGCAGUCGAGCGGACUUAAAAAGCUUGCUUUUUAAGUUAGCGGCGGACGGGUGAGUAACACGUGGGCAACCUGCCUGUAAGACUGGGAUAACUUCGGGAAACCGGAGCUAAUACCGGAUAAUCCUUUUCUACUCAUGUAGAAAAGCUGAAAGACGGUUUACGCUGUCACUUACAGAUGGGCCCGCGGCGCAUUAGCUAGUUGGUGAGGUAACGGCUCACCAAGGCGACGAUGCGUAGCCGACCUGAGAGGGUGAUCGGCCACACUGGGACUGAGACACGGCCCACACUCCUACGGGAGGCAGCAGUAGGGAAUCUUCCGCAAUGGACGAAAGUCUGACGGAGCAACGCCCCGUGAGUGAUGAAGGUUUUCGGAUCGUAAAACUCUGUUGUUAGGGAAGAACAAGUAUGAGAGUAACUGCUCGUACCUUGACGGUACCUAACCAGAAAGCCACGGCUAACUACGUGCCAGCAGCCGCGGUAAUACGUAGGUGGCAAGCGUUGUCCGGAAUUAUUGGGCGUAAAGCGCGCGCAGGCGGUCCUUUAAGUCUGAUGUGAAAGCCCACGGCUCAACCGUGGAGGGUCAUUGGAAACUGGGGGACUUGAGUGCACAAAAGAAGAGUGGAAUUCCACGUGUAGCGGUGAAAUGCGUAGAGAUGUGGAGGAACACCAGUGGCGAAGGCGACUCUUUGGUCUGUAACUGACGCUGAGGCGCGAAAGCGUGGGGAGCAAACAGGAUUAGAUACACUGGUAGUCCACGCCGUACACGAUGAGUGCUAAGUGUUAGAGGGUUUCCGCCCCUUCUAGUGCUGCAGCAAACGCAUUAAGCACUCCGCCCUGGGGAGUACGGCCGCAAGGCUGAAACUCACAGGAAUUGACGGGGGGCCCGCACAAGCGGUGGAGCAUGUGGUUU
rnacentral:rRNA from 2 species